AGGAUUCGAACUGGAGACCUCUCAGAUGAGUAUAGCGUGCAGUCAGUUGUGCUACGUUUACAGAUUGUUCCGGAAGGGCAAGCUCUUUGACCACACAAGGGGUACGGUGUCCCUGUAACUCCAAGCUCCUGUGCUAGUCCGUGCUCCAUAAACGUGGAAGUAGAGCCGUCAUCUAAAAAGGCGAACGUAUCUAUUCGCCCCCUGGGCCCGUGCAGCGUAACGGCGUUGUCACCUGACAGACUGUUGGGCACUCACGAGUUUCCAACACGAGCAUACCGAUGGAUAAUUAUAUCCCGUCUGCGGUUUGCGGUCAGGACGCUCGAGUCCUUUUCGCAGGACUGCAAAACUGCAGCGCAAAGCCCGAGCCAGAAAACAAAAAUCCAAAACCCGGCCCCGAGCAAAACCUCCACCGGUCGGUCCCGGUCCCAGUUUGGGCCAGGAUUUGCGAACACAAAUUUCAGUCCCCAGACCGUGGAGUCCUGCCCGUCUACAACACAUUACCCUUUCCUGUGGACACUCUGAGCAGUUUUUUUUUUGUUUAUUCUGUCGCCAUUCAUUCUCUCCACGCUCUCCGUAUUUCCUUCUCUUUCCAUCGCUCGCGAGCUGUUGCGCACCUCCGCCUAGCGCUCGCGAGCAAAGAGCAGAGUGCGGCGUUAAACGGCGGUUCUUCUUA